UGUUUUAUCAUGAUUUAUCUUUCUCAAAAUACAACUUUUCUUUGUUUUUCUUUAAAAUUUCCAGUCAUGUUAAAAUAAUAUUUCUAUAUUGUUAAUUAAAUUACAGGUCAAAUUAAAAAUAAGAUAUUAAGAAAAACAAAAAUAAAAAAGAAGAUAAUCAAUUUCAAUGGAAUUUACUUUGAAGAUUUUCUAUUGACUCAGGAGGAAGUGGAGACACGGUCAAGUCUCAGCGCUACUUAAACUCGUAAUCUGACCCAUCCUCUACGUACAUAGAUCUACUUGUCGUGUAUAAAGCUAAAAUACCUAUGUGCUCGUUAUGUAUACACAUAAUCCAGCCAACGUAACUCGUGGUUUAUGUUGUACCUCGAGUGCAUCGUUACCUACUCCGCUUCAGCGAUAAUUUAAUUGUCCGUUGAUGCCAGCGGCGACGUCAUUUUCACAAAGUUUGACCUAACUUUUGGACCUGGUGAUUUGUGGAAUUUAAUUCAACUUAAUAAAUGCAAUUUGCGCAUUUCGUUUAUCUCCAAGAUCGAAUAAUAUUCGUAAUGAGUCACACCAAACAUUGGUGUGAAAUUUAUUACUGGGACGUUGAAUGUGCAUAAAUCAAUUAAGAAAUGUAAACAUGCUAAGUAUUAGCACUUUUCAUCGGUUCACGACUUUUGGACAAAGAUACGAGGUAAGCUCGAACAA